rnacentral:rRNA from 1 species
GAUGAACGCUGGCGGCGUGCCUAAUACAUGCAAGUCGAGCGAACGGACGAGAAGCUUGCUUUUCUGAUGUUAGCGGCGGACGGGUGAGUAACACGUGGAUAACCUACCUAUAAGACUGGGAUAACUUCGGGAAACCGGAGCUAAUACCGGAUAAUAUUUUGAGCCGCAUGGUUCAAAAGUGAAAGACGGUCUUGCUGUCACUUAUAGAUGGAUCCGCGCUGCAUUAGCUAGUUGGUAAGGUAACGGCUUACCAAGGCAACGAUGCAUAGCCGACCUGAGAGGGUGAUCGGCCACCAUGGAACUGAGACACGGUCCAGACUCCUACGGGAGGCAGCAGUAGGGAAUCUUCCGCAAUGGGCGAAAGCCUGACGGAGCAACGCCGCGUGAGUGAUGAAGGUCUUCGGAUCGUAAAACUCUGUUAUUAGGGAAGAACAUAUGUGUAAGUAACUGUGCACAUCUUGACGGUACCUAAUCAGAAAGCCACGGCUAACUACGUG